AGCGAACGCUGGCGGCAGGCCUAACACAUGCAAGUCGAACGGAUCCUUCGGGAUUAGUGGCGGACGGGUGAGUAACACGUGGGAACGUGCCCUUUGGUUCGGAACAACUCAGGGAAACUUGAGCUAAUACCGGAUGUGCCCUUCGGGGGAAAGAUUUAUCGCCAUUGGAGCGGCCCGCGUCUGAUUAGCUAGUUGGUGAGGUAACGGCCCACCAAGGCGACGAUCAGUAGCUGGUCUGAGAGGAUGAUCAGCCACACUGGGACUGAGACACGGCCCAGACUCCUACGGGAGGCGGCGGUGGGGAAUCUUGGGAAAGGGGCGAAAGCCUGACGCAGCCAGGCCGGGGGAAUGAUGAAGGUCUUAGGAUUGUAAAAUUCUUUCGGCGGGGAGGAAAAGGGCGGUACCCGCAAAAAAAGCCCCGGCUAACUUGGU
rnacentral:rRNA from 1 species